CCUACGGGGGGCAGCAGUGGGGAAUAUUGCACAAUGGGGGAAACCCUGAUGCAGCGACGCCGCGUGAGUGAAGAAGUAAUUCGUUAUGUAAAGCUCUAUCAGCAGGGAAGAAAAUGACGGUACCUGAGUAAGAAGCCCCGGCUAACUACGUGCCAGCAGCCGCGGUAAGACGUAGGGGGCAAGCGUUAUCCGGAUUUACUGGGUGUAAAGGGAGCGUAGACGGCAGUGCAAGUCUGGAGUGAAAGGCGGGGGCUCAACCCCCGGACUGCUCUGGAAACUGUACGGCUGGAGUGCAGGAGAGGUAAGUGGAAUUCCUAGUGUAGCGGUGAAAUGCGUAGAUAUUAGGAGGAACACCAGUGGCGAAGGCGGCUUACUGGACUGUAACUGACGUUGAGGCUCGAAAGCGUGGGGAGCAAACAGGAUUAGAUACCCUAGUAGUC
rnacentral:rRNA from 1 species